CGUUAACAUGUCGUUUCAACCAACCAAUCCAUUGCAUAAGUUCAUUGGUGUGAAAAAAGAUCCUUUGGAUGGAAUGUCGCAUUGCAAUGUUGUUUACAAGAUUUCAUGCAAUGAGUGCGACGCUUCAUACGUAGGACAGAACAAGCGCCAACUGCACACUAGAGUCAACGAACACCGAAGAGACAUUAAUAAGAGAUCGGGCUCUCCUUCGGUCAUUUCUACCCAUAAGUCGGAGUCAGGGCAUGAUUUUAAUUGGAAUCAUGUUGAAAUCUUGGACGAGGAAAUUGCAUAUAAAAAACGAAUGGUAUCUGAGAUGAUAAAUAUUAAGAGGCAAUUAAAUCCUCUUAAUUUACAAAGUGACACUUUGGCGUUACCUGAUGUUUAUUCACCUAUUUUGAAUACUUUUCCAUCUAAAUAGCUUUGGCUACCGAUUUAUCUGCUUGUUUACGUAAUGCUGACUGUGAUGUUUGUGAUCUUAGUCGCGGUUGGAACGUCGGAGAGAUAUGACUGUAUUCUAUUCUCUAUUUUAUUAGUGUGACCACGUAGAUUUAUGACUGAUCACGCCAUGUAUAUAAUGUACUCCGAUGACUUUGAUCGCGCCUUGGAUUUAAUAAUGUACUCCGAUGAUUUUUGCCUGCCUCUUAUAAAUUUGCGAUGCUCUGUUCUGUCUGAUUGAAAUGUCGAUUGAAUAACAGCGAUGUGAUUCUUCGUUGGACGUACUCCGCUGGUUUUUUUCAACACUGAAGAUGGUCAAAUGUUGACCGAAACGUUUGUGUAGUUCCAAAUAUGGAAAAAUUUUUGGUUUAAUAAAUAUCAGCACCGUCAACCUGCUA